ACCAGUCUUCGGUGCCAACAUCAGACGUGGUGGCAUAGGAGGGGAGGGGUGCUGGUGGCUGGGUAUGGUGACUGUCUCGGUUGGGAAACAGUGAUAUGGGGGCUGGGUUAAAGAGGUGUGACAUGACACUAACUAGGCACUGACUAGGCGGUCGGAAGUCAAAACUAGUAAAGCCCGACCAGAAAACUGAUUUGAAUGGAGUGGGCAUCAUUUUUUUUGUUUUCAGAUUUCAUCAGAAAUGUAAAUAAUCCCUCCGUGAAGUAGUGAUCUAAGAGAAUCUACAACCGGACUUGACAAAUUGGGCCCAUGUACGACUGCGGGCGCGUUCGUCGGCCCCUCAUAUGUUGCGUCGUACAUCCACAUACGUCAAAUGUCA
rnacentral:lncRNA from 1 species